CAUUAAGAUUAAGGGCACUAAGAUUAUGAAUCAACGUUCGGCAAAGUUUUUAGGUGUGUGGUUUGAUAACCAUCUCUCCUUCAGUAAACAUAUAACAGAAAUUAGAGGUAAGGUAAAUAAAGCUAAUUCUUUAUUGCGAUAUCUUGGCGGUGUAUCGAGAGGUAUAGAAGUCAAUACGUCACUUAUGUUAUACAAAAGCUUAGUAAGAUCUAUUAUGGAUUAUGGCUCUUUUGUUUAUGCCCCUAAUAAUUAUAAUUUACAACUAAAAUUAGAAAGAGGACAAUUCCUUGGAAUCAGAACAGCGUUAGGAUAUCGUAAUAGUACUCCAAACAAUGUUAUUAUGGCAGAGUCAAAAAUUAUGUAUAUUAGAGACAGAGCACUUAUGCUAGCAAAAAAUUUAUGUAUUAAAAUCUUUAAAUAUGGAGAAAACACGAUCAGGAAUAGUUUGUGUUUACUGAGGGAGAGAGAGCUAUAUGCAAAUUAUAGAAACCCGGCUACUUGUAGAAGUGUAAUUGGAAAGGCAUGGGAUCAUAUUAUGGUAAAUAGAAAGAAAGUAGGUUCACCACUAGAUACGUUUGAAUUGUGGAAUAUGUCAUAUAAACAAAUAACUGAUAGAAUAGAUUAUGAUGAGGAGAUCGGUGAAACAAUUAAAAUAUUAAAACCUAAUAAGAUUCCAUGUAACAGUAACGAUAUUAAGAGCUAUAAUUAUCAAGAUAUUAAUUUAAUUAGAGAGGUUCAACAUAAAUAUGAACUAUCGGAAAACUCAUUAAUUAUAUAUACGGAUGGAUCGAGUGGUGAACAAUGCACUUCUGUGGGUGCCGGUUUGGUUUUUGAAGAACAUGAAAUAGGCUAUUAUGUAAGUUUGCCGAAACAAUGCUCUAUAUUCUCUGCGGAAGCGUUUGCUAUUAAGACUGCCAUGGAAUUAGCUAUGAAUAAAAUUAUAGAUAGAGAUAAUGUAAUAAUUUUUUCGGAUUGUAAAUCGGUCUUACAAGCUCUUAAAAACAAUAGAUUAGAUGUAUAUCAGAAUAAGUAUAUAUUAGAAAUUAAAAGACUGCACUCUAGAUUCAAAGAAUCGACUAACAAUAAAAAAAAGAUGAUAUUCGUUUGGAUCCCAUCGCAUCGAGGUCUGACUGGUAAUGAACUCGCGGAUAUGUUGGCGAAACAAGGUGCGGAAGAGCCAGCCUCAUCUGAAAUAGAGAUACCGAUAGGUGAUCUACGAAGAUUUUAUAAAGAGGAAUCAUGGUCCCUUACUCAGGAAAAAAUCAAGAACGAAUUUAGAUAUAAAGGAAUGUUUUACUAUAAUAAUUACUAUAACAAAAAUAGUAAAAAGCCAUGGUUUAGUUCGAUGAACACUGAAAGAUAUUUUGUUACAUUAAUUAAUAGAUUAAGAGCUAAUCAUUACAAUCUAAAUGCCUCACUAGCAAGAAAAGAUUAUAUACCGGAUUCAAGAUGUGAAUGUGGAGCUGAGUCAGAAGAUUUUGAUCACCUGGUAUGGCAGUGCCACAGGUAUGACGCGGAUAGAAUUGAUAUGGGCAUCCAGUUGUAUCGUCGUAACAUAGAUGGUGUGGAGAGCAUUACAGAGCUUAUUAGAAAAGAGAAUUGGAAGAAAUUGUACGUGAUAUACAAGUUUGUCAAGAAAACAGGAAGAGUAAUUUAAAACUGAGUCUCGAGAGCGAGCAAUAUUAUUAUAACACCUUACGACGUCAUAUGACCACAUAUCCCCGUGGGAGGUCGAGCACGUCUGGUUUUCGUCUUAGGACGUAAACUAACCUCCAAAAACCCCCAUGUUAAAACUAUUGAGUUAAUCAAAGUUUACGUCACGAAAUACUUUGUAUUUUUAUCCUGAUAUACCGUGCCCUGAAACAUUUUGUAAGCAUCGAUAAUAAUGGAUUCUGACAAAAAGUGGCGAUCAACAUUAGAAGAAGGAGAAAGGGAAAGAUUAAGAAUGAUAAAAGAGAAAUGGCGUUUUGAACAAGAAUUGAAUGAACGAAAGUUAAGAAUGAUUGAAGAAUAUGAAAGAAAACGAGCAGAAGCACUGAAAAAUUGCAAUCAACAGCCUGGAUUACAACAUAGGAAUGAUACUUCACAACAAAGUGGAAUUAAAUUCCUUGACUAUGAGCAUUUUAAUGAAUGGAAAUCUAACAAAUCAGUGAUCAACAACAGUUCAGAAGAUAUAAUUGACAAGGAAGAACUAUAUAAAAUAAAAAUAACUAUUAAAGGAAGUAAUCUAUCAAUGAAGGAUCAAAGUACAUCAAAAAAGAUUGAACGAGAUAUUAUAAAUGCAAACGAAAUAAUUCUCCCUCGAAGACCAAGUAAAAUGAAGGUUCUUGCCCAUUGUUCAAAGGAAACGAAAUCAAGAUAGCUGAGGAAACAAUUACGAGACUUUCACAAGAUGAAUUGGUUUCAGAGAAGUAUAUGUCAAAUGAAACUCAAGACUAUUGAUAAAAUUGUCAAAGAGAUCCAAGACAUCCAAGACUGUUUUGCUUUUGGAAAGAAGGAAAAAGCAACUGGCUGAAUACAAGAAGACAGUGAAGAAGACUCCAAAAACUAAAACUAAGAAAACUGAAAAAACUGAGAAAGAUACUACGAAAACCGCUGCUCCUGUCAAGCAGCCAGUUAAUAAGUAAAACAACAAUUAAAUAAUAUCAACACUGUUGUUGACUCAUAUUUUUUAUCUCUGUCUUCAAAUAAAAGGCGAAAAAUUAAAA
rnacentral:misc_RNA from 1 species